AUUGAACGCUGGCGGCAGGCCUAACACAUGCAAGUCGAGCGAGCGGCGGACGGGUGAGUAAUGCAUGGGGACUGCCCGACAGAGGGGGACAACUAAUGGACACGGUAGUUAAUACAUCAUACUAUAGGAUACCCCAUAUGGGAGUAGCUAUAAGGUGAGGUAACGGCCCACCUAGGCGACGAUCUCUAGCUGGUCUGAGAGGAUGAUCAACCUCACUGGAACUGUGACGCGGCCCAGACUCCGACGGAGGCGGCAGUGGGGAAGAUUGCACAAUGGGCGCAAGCCUGAUGCAGCCAUGCCACGUGUAUGAAGACGGCACUAGGGUUGUAAAGUACUUUCAGUCGGGAGGCGUUGCCGACAGAAGGAGCACCGGCUAACUCCGUACCAGCAGCCGCGGUAAUUC
rnacentral:rRNA from 1 species